rnacentral:rRNA from 1 species
UGGGGAAUAUUGCGCAAUGGACGAAAGUCUGACGCAGCGACGCCGCGUGAGGGAUGAAGGUCUUCGGAUCGUAAACCUCUGUCAGAGGGGAAGAAACUACGGGGUGCUAAUCAGCUCCGUACUGACGGUACCCUCAAAGGAAGCACCGGCUAACUCCGUGCCAGCAGCCGCGGUAAUACGGAGGAUGCAAGCGUUAUCCGGAUUUAUUGGGUUUAAAGGGUGCGUAGGUGGUCUUUUAAGUCAGCGGUGAAAGUUUGUGGCUCAACCAUAAAAUUGCCGUUGAAACUGGAUGACUUGAGUGUGUCUGGGGCAGGCGGAAUGCGUGGUGUAGCGGUGAAAUGCUUAGAUAUCAGGAGGAACAUCGGUGGCGAAAGCGCUUUACUGGACGAUAACUGACGCUGAGGCGCGAAAGCGUGGGGAGCAAACA